GAUGAACGCUGGCGGCGUGCUUAAUACAUGCAAGUCGAACGGAGACAAUAGCAAUAUUGUCUUAGUGGCGAACGGGUGAGUAACGCGUUGGUGACCUGCCCCGAAGAGGGGGAUAACAGUCCGAAAGGAUUGCUAAUACCCCAUGUGGUCAUAUGGAUUAGAUGCCUAAUGACUAAACGGAUUUAUUCGCUUCGGGAGGGGCCUGCGUCCCAUCAGCUAGUUGGUAAGGUAAUGGCUUACCAAGGCGAUGACGGGUAGGGGACCUGAGAGGGUGGCCCCCACAAUGGAACUGAAACACGGUCCAUACACCUACGGGUGGCAGCAGUAGGGAAUAUUGGUAAUCUGGGAAACCGGGAACCAGCAACGCCGCGUGCACGAUGAAGGCCUUCGGGUCGUAAAGUGCUUUUUGAAGGGAUGAGGAAGGACAGUACCUUCAGAAUAAGCCUCGGCUAACUACGUG
rnacentral:rRNA from 1 species